rnacentral:rRNA from 1 species
GAUGAACGCUAGCGGCAGGCCUAAUACAUGCAAGUCGAACGGUUGUAGUGAUACAAUAGUGGCGCACGGGUGCGUAACACGUAUGCAACCUACCUUAUAGACGGGGAUAGCCUUUGGAAACGGAGAUUAAUACCCGAUAGCAAUAUUGACUGGCAUCAGUUUAUAUUUAAAGAUUUAUCGCUAUAAGCUGGGCAUGCGUCCAAUUAGUUAGUUGGUUAGGUAAUGGCUGACCAAGACGAUGAUUGGUAGGGGAACUGAGAGGUUAAUCCCCCACACUGGCACUGAGAUACGGGCCAGACUCCUACGGGAGGCAGCAGUAGGGAAUAUUGGGCAAUGGAGGCAACUCUGACCCAGCCAUGCCGCGUGCAGGAUGAAGGCGUUAUGCGUUGUAAACUGCUUUUAUAUAGGAAGAAAUAGACCUUGCGAGGUAAGUUGACGGUACUAUAUGAAUAAGCACCGGCUAACUCCGUGCCAGCAGCCGCGGUAAUACGGAGGGUGCAAGCGUUGUCCGGAUUUAUUGGGUUUAAAGGGUGCGUAGGCGGUUUAUUAAGUCAGUGGUGAAAGACGGUCGCUCAACGAUUGCAGUGCCAUUGAUACUGGUAGACUUGAGUGAGAUUGAGGUAGCUGGAAUGGAUAGUGUAGCGGUGAAAUGCAUAGAUAUUAUCCAGAACACCAAUUGCGUAGGCAAGUUACUAAGUCUCAACUGACGCUGAGGCACGAAAGUGUGGGUAUCAAACAGGAUUAGAUACCCUGGUAGUCCACACUGUAAACGAUGAUAACUAACUGUUGGCUUUCGGGUCAGUGGUACAGAGAAAUCGUUAAGUUAUCCACCUGGGGAGUACGCCGGCAACGGUG